AGGACGAACGCUGGCGGCGUGCUUAACACAUGCAAGUCGAGCGGAAAGGCCCUUCGGGGUACUCGAGCGGCGAACGGGUGAGUAACACGUGAGUAAUCUGCCCUUAGCUCUGGGAUAGCUCCGGGAAAACCGGGAUUAAUACCAGAUACGACCACUUUAGACAUCUGCCGUGGUGGAAAGAAUUUCGGCUAAGGAUGAGCUCGCGGCCUAUCAGCUUGUUGGUGGGGUAACGCCUACCAAGGCGACGACGGGUAGCCGGCCUGAGAGGGCGACCGGCCACACUGGGACUGAGACACGGCCCAGACUCCUACGGGAGGCAGCAGUGGGAAUAUUGCGCAAUGGGCGAAAGCCUGACGCAGCGACGCCGCGUGGGGGAUGAAGGCCUUCGGUUGUAACCCUUUCAGCAGGACGAAGCGAAGUGACGGUACCUGCAGAAGAAGCGCCGGCUAACUACGCGCCAGCAGCCGC
rnacentral:rRNA from 1 species